AUAUAUAUAUAUAUCAUGGUGAAUCAUUGGGUGGCCUGAUCCCUUUUUGGGUGCCUUGUGUUUUUAAUCCCAAAGUGAAGAGUUAAAAAGCCAAAUAGUUCCUCAAAGAUGCCUUGGUAUGGGGUAGCCUCCCCUCUCCCUAAACACAUGAUAGUUCUUUCACUGCAUACACUGCAAGGUGAGUCUUGUUUAUGGCAAGGAGGUGCAGCUCAUUCUGGUGAAUUUGGAUGUGUUCUGGCCUUGUGACUUCGAGUUUACCAGUAAAUUUAUUGGGCAGCAAACACACGAACCCAGAGCUGAUUGGCAAGUGGAAAAAUUUGGAGGUGUUAUCAUUGGGUUCAUGCUUAAAUUUGGCGAAAAUACUUCCAAUUAUACAAACGCAUUGCAAGAAUUUUUAUGGUUUAGAUUUGUCCAAAGGCUCUGUUCAUGGGCGUGAGGCAUUGUCAAUUGUGAAGUUGGUGCCCAAAAAUGAUAUGACAAAUUUGUAUAUUUAAAAGAUAUAGCCG